UACGGGGGGUGCAAGCGUUGUCCGGAAUCAUUGGGCGUAAAGCGUUCGUAGGCGGCAAGGUAAGUCUGAUGUUAAAGCCCGGGGCUCAACUCCGGUUCGGCAUUGGAUACUAUCUAGCUAGAAUGUGGUAGAGGUAAAGGGAAUUCCUGGUGUAGCGGUGAAAUGCAUAGAUAUCACGAAGAACCCCGAUUGCGAAGGCAGCAUACCGGCUCCACACUGACGCUGAGGCACGAAAGCGUGGGUAUCGAACAGG
rnacentral:rRNA from 1 species